rnacentral:lncRNA from 1 species
CUGGGGGGCGGUCUGUGACAGGGCAGGCCAUCCCAUGGGGAGUGAGAAGACAGACAGAGAGGUCCUGAGGCUGCCUUGAGAUCCCACCUCUUUGCACUUGAGCUGGUCGUGAAAGGGUACCAGAGAGGACCGAAGUUGCCAACCUGCUGAGGAGUGAGGGUCCAGGGAGAAGUUGAGGUGCCCAGGUGGAGCAGCGCCUAGAGGAUGACUUGAAUACUGAUAGUGGUACCAUUGAGGCUAUUGGAGUAGGGCGUUGUAAAGGCCUUAGGAAGAGGAAUGUUGAAAACCCUGGAGCUGUUGGGCCAAUGGACUUCAAGGGCACUCUGGAGAGGCCUACAGCAGUGGAAGAGUUCCUGAGAGGUGGGUUUGCGGAGUCUGGCACCAAGGAUCACAGUUGGCCUCUGUUAAGUUCUCAUGGCAGUCAUUGGCUUCAGGUUGGAAGGUCUGAAGGUCAUCACAGAAAGGUCUCUCGUACUCGAGGUCUUCAAAUAACAGAGCUAGAGGAAUCUCAGAAAGAACUUCCAGGUCAACCUUUACAUGGAAAUUGGUGCUCAGAAUUUCUCACUCCUGUUCAUGAGGAAUGCUGA